CUCUAGACCUUGCACUUGUGAGGCAGGCAAUGGAACCACUGAGGUAAAUUGCUGGUCCUGGAAGCUGUUUUUACAUUGUCUUCCACCUUGAUGCUGUGGGUGCCGUCAUUGCCAGUCGCUGCCAUCACGACUCCUGAUCCUCGGCACACGGGCUCUUUCCAUUCUCUGCGAUAAUUUUAAUUUCCAGGAGCACUUCCUUUCCCCUGAGAGCUCCUCUUCACAACAUCUCACUCCUGACCCCAAGUCGCCCAGCUUCUCUUUCUCUGAUUAAAUUCGCUGUGGCUAUCAGUGUACCCAUCAUGGUCCACGUAUCAGGCUCAGCAGCCUUUCCGGAACACCUGAGUACCGCUGGUCGGCAAGCUUGGAGGAGAAGCACUGUAGGGCUCACAGGAAGCUCAGCGUGGUGGGUGCACGAGGCCCCGAGCUCAAUGCCGUCAUUGGCUUCCGGUCUGUUGUUGCAUCAUGGCUGAGAGCGCAGGGGGGCCACAGUGACACUUCCUCCUCCACUUCCUCUGUGCCUUUCAUGACAACCAAGGUGAUUGUCACAGUCAACCAUGUACCCACUUGUGAAAGGUCAGGGGACAGCAGGGACGCCGAGCCUGACCCCUGUGAGGUGCUGAUCCAACACCAAUGAUCCCCGGAGGCUUCUCUACGGGGGAGAAAAAUAAAUUCCGCUUUUCCAACCACCUUAAAUCUGUAGUUUUCUUUUGACUUCUAGCCAAGGAUAUUCCAAAUUGCAUCCUUUUAACUUUCUGGGAAAAUAUAAUAGAAAAUCGGACAUUUUCUUUGUCUCAAAGUUGCCAAAAUGGAGAAGGACAAAACUGCAGUCUUCUUACUGUACCUGUUGCUGACAUCACUUAUCUCUGGUGGGGGCCAUGGACCCUGCCAGAGGGCUCUAAACUUUGGUCAUCACAGGAGACCCACCCAAGGAGUCCCUAAGGGCUGGACCAGCGAUGGGAAGAUGAA